GGUGGAAGUUUGAUUCUUGCUUGAUACUUUUACGUUAUAGCUGGUAAAUACAUGUAAAUAAUUGUGUGGAGUGAAAAAUGAGUAAAUUUAUUAAAAAUAAGUUUAAUUAGAAAAGUAUAAAUCGUGUUAAGAAAAUUAAAAUCACAGUAUAAAAUAUUAAAUUAUGGGCGGUAGCUUGAUUUGGUAGUUAUAAGAAGUCUGACUAAGUUUUGUGCCAGCAGUCGCGGUUACACUUUAAGAUUAAGUAAAAGUAAUUUAGUUAACAGUUAAUUAAAAAUUUAUAAGUUAGUUUAGUUUAUUUUAAUAAAAGGUAAAAUUAGAUUGUUAAUUAGUAAAUUAAAUUAGUAUAUAAAAAAGAUGAAACUGUAGAUGCCAGGGUAUGAACUAGGAUUAGAUACCCUAUUACACCUGGGAGUAAAAUUUAAAUGCUUGAAUAUUAAUAGUUAUAUUCUUUAAAAUCAAAGAAUUUGGCGGUAUUUUA
rnacentral:rRNA from 1 species